rnacentral:lncRNA from 1 species
AAGAAGCUAAAUUUAGACCAAACACUCUCUCUCCUAGUCUCUCUCUUGGCCGAAUUCUCUGCAGCAAAAACACAACACAAAGUUGCCAUUUUCAUCCUCAAUUCUUGCACAAAAACUUCAUGGAUUCACACCAAAUUUGAACUACACUUAGCUUGUCACGUGGAGAGAUCAUCUAGCUAGAAAAAGGAGGAGUUUCUCACGGUUUCUUGGAGCAUCUUGAGGACCGAAAUUUCUGGUUUAAAGCAACAAGGAGGUAUAACCUCAUCCUACACCUUAAGCUUGGUUUAUGAUGGUAGAAAUGCAUCCUUAAGCUAUUGCAUGUGUAUGGGUAUCUUGAUAUUGUUGGAAAAAUGUGAAAGUGGGCUCUAUGGAUUCCCACACUUGGGUUGUUGCUGAUUUGAUGAUUGAUGGUGGAUAUAUUGUUGGUUUAGUGGUUAAAAUGAUGGAUUAAUGGUGUGUAAUUGACAGAAAUUUCAUUGGGUGCAAGAGGCAAAAGUUUCCGAUUUUACCCCUGCCUUGUCCGACCACUUUUGUGCAAAAUUUUGAAGUUCUAAUGGCUUGAUUAUGUUGUUUACAUGUUAUUGUGAGUGUGUACAAAAUUUCAUUGAAAAAUAACAUGAUUUGGUUGGUCAAAUGAAUUGAUUUCGAAAGUUAGCAAAUCUGGAAAAUGAUUCCCGUAUUGACCAGGCAGUCAUUUUGUAUCGGCUAUAACUCUUUACUCCGAUGUCGAAAUCAAGUGCCGUUUGCGGCAUUGGAAACUAGACAUUCCCAGCUUUCCAUUGGUACUAAAUUCGCGUUCUGGUUCCACUUGAGUGAGCCACACCAUUCGUUUGAAAAUCACUGCCCUGUUUCGUUGCUCUCCAGGAGACAGGACAGAAAUUUCUUCUUGAUGCUCAAAAACGAGCUGUUUGUGGAUAGAAUUUGGUAAUGGUUUCUUCUGAGAAAAUUCAGCUUUAUGAGAGAGCUUUCUAACGCCAUCAACCACGCUCAAUUCCAAGUUGAAUUGAGUGAGUUGUGGCCAUAUUUCGAAACUGAUGCAGUGAGUAAAAAUCCUCUUUUGACUAGUUAAAUGGCCUAGCUUGAUUUGGGACUUGUUGUUUUGGAAAAUUUGAUGUCCAACAUCUACCAAACUUUAUAUUAGAUGUUUCUUGGACUUUGUUUUACAAAUAAACCAGAUUUGGGUUGGUUGCUUUGGACAAAAUAUUUAAAAAGGAAAGAAGAGCUAGAAGACAGUUUUACCUUGGGAAAUUUCCUGAACUUUGAUGGUUUAGUUAACUACCUUCCCGUGUGAAUUUUCAAAUGAAAUUUGGUAGAAGAGUAAUCCUCAUAUGGAGGUUUAAUUGUACAAAAUUUGGUAAUAUUCUAAGACCAUUUUGAUAUGCAAAUGAUGUCACAAAAUUCGCUCAUCGAAUCUGGAAAACUUUUGUUUUCUCUUAGCCGAAUGGCCAAAUCUGAUUUGGAGAGUUUUAUUUCGAAAAUUUGGAUGUCAAUGGUCUUUAAAUUGCUCAGUGAAUGUUUAUGAACUCCUGGUUUCAAUAAUGGAGAGAUUUGGAACUGAUUUCAUGGUACAAAAAGUUUGUAAACAAAAGAAAAGUGAGAAGGUAGUUUAGCCUUGAAACUCUUCAUAAACUUUGGUUGUUUUAAUGACUACCUUACCGUGUGAGUUUUUGUAUGAAACUUGGUAGAAAUGUUGUUCACAUAUGGAAGAUUUAGUGUACCAAGUUUUAUGUAUUUCCACUGCCAACUUGAUGACCAAAUGAUAUUUCAAAUCUAGUUUUAAACCUGGAAAAUAGCCCAACAGUCUUAACUUUUUCAGCAACUUGGAGGUACUAUAUCUUGGUGCUCGAAACUCCGUUUCUCGUUCCGCUUGUUUUGUUAUACUCUUGGAUUGCAACACUAAUUGAUUUCCAAAUUUCAAAGGUUAGUUCAAAACAAGUGAAUUUUGCCGAAUUUCUAAAGUUGGCCAAAAACCAACUUAAAUCUGUCUUGGUAAUUCAAGUUACCAACUUUGAGCCAAAAUUUGAGUGCCUUUCACUUACAUUCGUGGAAAAGUGUCUUGUAAGAACUUUUAGUACUUUGAAAGAGGAUUCCAACAGUACCAAGUUUUCCAAUUUUGGACUUGUGAAGAGUGAAAUAUGAUUUUUCAAAUAUUACUUGUUAAAUCUGGAAUUUUUUAACUUAAAGGAAACUAAAGGUUUCAAACCCUCCAUUUUCCUUCAAUAUCAUUUGAUCGUUUUACAUUUGAUUUUAAAGAUGGAAAUCAGAUUUGUCUUGUAUUUUAAAACCCACUUUUGAACCUCGAGUUACACGAACUCUUAGACUUGCCUCUGCGUUAAUUUCUUAGAUUGUACUAGUGUACAAUUUUCCUCGAUAAUUAGAAUGAUUUUGAGUGGUAGUUGAUUAUUGUUGCUCAGGCACUCGAGGGAAUCUCCCAGAGGAACUCGGAGCGGACACCUAAAACGCUUGUUUGAGAACUACUCGCUUGUUUUGACUAGGUGAGUGUUCCAUAUAGGAAUACGUAAUUGGAAUAAGUCUAUGACAUGCUUAACCCAUGGUCAUUAAGUAUUUACCACACUCAUGCAUAUUUGAAUAAUGUAUACUUGAAUUGCUCGACAUGAAACACCUGAAGUAUGUAUAUUUGAACUAUUGAUAUGAAAUGCUUAAAGAGCAUACUUAUGUGAUUACUUGAAAUACUAGAUAUGAAAUGUUUGGAGAGCAUAUUUACAUGAUGUGUUUAAAUGAUUAAUUAUGCUAUGGAAGCAUAAGUCGGUUGGAGUGAAUCUCCUCGACUCUUACGUGGUGAAAGUGAAAAACGGCCAAUGGCGGCCUAUUGAAAUGACAUAUGUCUACCAAUUAACCGUAAUUACUACCGUUAACCGUUUACCGUUUACCGUUUACCGUGUUUACUUACCGUUUUCUAAUCUAUGUGGUUACUUGCCUACUUGAUUAUCUGCUUACGUGAUCACCAACUUACUUGAUUACUUGACCACCUGAUUACUUGAUUAUCAUAAAUUAUAUGCUCAUAUGAAGUGGGCCACGGUUUUAAGGCGAGUGUGUACUUUAUCUCACUCGACCUCCAAACAUGAUAAAUUUUUACUUUUGUCGAAUUACUUUGUUACCUGUGCAUGUUGUAAGCUAUAAGCUGAACUUGGGCCCCGCCUCGGUUACUGACCUACUCGAGCCAGGACUGGGCUCGGUCGGGUAGGUUGGAACCCUGGACAACCGUUUCGGUAUACUCGAGUAUUACCACUGGAGGGAUAAGGCGAUGGCCAGACCGUACCGUGGGGAUCGGAAGUCAUAAGGUGCAGAUGACCGACAGAGUUCCACUGGAACACCGUAUCCUACCGUAUAUGUUUACCUUGUAUCAUGAUAAUUGUUUCAUGCUAAAAUGUCAACAUGAAAUCCUGAACUAUGCCUGUGAUAUGCUCCAUACCUGUUACCUGACCAAUGUACUUAUAUCAUGAUACCUGUCUCAUGAUAAAUGUCUCAUACCAUGAUAAAUAUCUCAAAUUACUCGUACAAUGAUUAUCACCUCAUGAUAACACGCCAUUGUGUAACAUUGAACCAUGCAUAUGAUAUGCCCAACUUACUUGAUUUAUUUGAACUGUUAGAGUGUCUUGGAACCUCACUGGGCUGUGUAGCUCAUCCCACGUUGUGGUUUUCUUUUACAGGGUUCGAGACCAAGGGUGCUCGUGAGUAGUACUAGAUUGUUUUCUUUUGAAAACUUUAAGUUAUAUUAUAACGGAUGGCUAUUGUACCCUUUUCCGUUGGGUUGUAUUUAAGCUUGGAAGCUGCAUAAUUGUAAGUGUGAGAUAUUUGGAGUACUUUAAUUAUGUAUUGAAGUUACUUAAAGUAUUUCGAGCUUUUGAAUGAUGGAUUGUAGUGAGUCCUGGCGAGAGUUGGGCAGGCGUCCCGCGGAUACCCUUUGAUUCGCCUUAGGGAGAAGUGGGGGCGCUACAAUUAGGAGUAGUACCAGUGAACUUUCAUGGCAAAAUUUUGUAUACUCUAAAAUUUUAAGGGUUCAUUUCAUCUAAUAUAGCUUUUAUUAGAGGCACUUAUUAAGUGUAAUUUGAGACUUUUUAAAUGUAUUUAUUUCUUUA